rnacentral:lncRNA from 1 species
GGGAAUGUUAUUAAGAUCAGGGUUCCAAAAGAGGUAAUUCAGUUUAAUGUGGGGUAUCAACUUCUCAUUAUUCAUCAUGGGACUAUUAGAGCGUAUUCAUGUGGGUAUAAGGUGAUAUUAUAUGAAAAAAGAUAAUUCAAGUAUUAAGGGUAUUAUUGGAAUCCAAAGUUAUGAUCAUAAGGGACUGAUAAGGUGAUUCAGUUCUAAGUAAACAAUAAUUCAACAUUCGCAAGGUAUACAAUUAUGAAGCAAGUAUAAAGGAGAGUAUAGAGUUCCACUUGCCUGGACUAAGCUUACUGAGCUCUUGUACAGAUGCUUCUAGGGGUUCCUUGCCUGGCCUCCUACUUGCACCUAUAAUUAAUAGUAUCCUCGUCACUACAAGGCUAACUAUCCUUUCGUGUAUAAAUAUAUAUAUAUAUAUAUAUAAAUAAAUAUAUACAUAUAUAUAAAAUAUACACUUAAAUUUAAUUAAAACGAGUAACAUAUUCAUCAAGUAAUGCACAUAACAAGUAAAGCAUGGCAUUUUAUUACUUAACUAUUAUCACUUAAUAAUCCUCUAAUUAUACCUAAGUCACUUAAGUAAUUAAUCACGUAACACAUAAGGUCUAAGACCAACACCUCCUAACUAUACUCUACUGACCUCAAUUUAACCAAUUAAUAGUAAGGCACACUUGUGCCCUACCUCCCAAGACUUACAAGUGAAGUGCAACCUAAGUGACUUAUUAGUUACCUCCCAAGACUUACAAGUGAAGUGCAACCUAAGUGACUUAUUAGUAUGCUUACCUUGGCGACACUUGUCUGCCUUGGUAAAAAUAAUGCAUCUACACUAAGUGCAUUGACUUAAACUAACUUGCACUAUCUAAUAUGUCCUAAAACUAACUCAUGGACUCAAUAUGAGGUCAAGACCUCACUGAUGACACACUCAAAUGCAAUGCACCCUAAGUUGGUUCUAAAAUGUGACUCUAUGUGUGACACUUGUGUUCUUUAGUGGAAAUGAGGCAUCUCCACUUAAGGCAUUCACUCUAAAUUGACUUCUAAGGGUUGAUAUGAUCCUAAACUGACUUUCUGAAGUGGUGUGACUAUUCUAAUUAGGCACAAGGGUCUUUAAAACUAAUGCACUCAAGUGACUAUUCUAAUUAGGCAGUUUGGCACCUCUUGGAGGGCCUUGGCAAAAACAGAUGUUUCCACCAUGUGCUUUGGCAAAAUUGUGACUCCUCUGGAUACCUAAGACCUAAAUAUAAGUUGUGCACUUGGAAUGACACUAAGGCCUUGCUCAGGCCUCCUUGGGCCUCCAUGCCAAGUUGGCACAGAACACCUUGACUUGCUGUGGGGACUGCCCUGAUCUUACCAACUUGAAACUCACUAAACUCACUCAAUACACCAAUCCAAUGACUCAAAUAGCUUCCUAAGACUUCCCUAAGCUCAUCUAAAUCAAGGUCCCAUGAGGGCCUCACCAAUGACAUAGCUUUAACCACUCAAGGAUGCAAUUGGUCCUAAAGUGCCCUGUUCUGCCCUAUACUCAAAAAUGUGUGUGUGUACCUAUGUAAAUGAUUGUUUUUAUGACUCUUAUGGCUACUGGAGACUAGUAAAUACCAAGUCCCAACUCCAGAUAACUUGGGCCUAUGAGGGCCUAAGCAUGACAUCUCCAUUUCUCAAGGUUUCUAUGGUGUAAACAUCUGCUUUGGGGUGUGUGUGUGACUCCUUCCACCUUAACUCCCUUUUAAACACCAUAAUCCAAGCAAACAAGCCACAAACCUACUCUACAUGAUACAUAUAUCUACUGACUAUCCUCACCAAGAAAGAUAUCACAACUUUUAACCAAAUAAAAUACAAUGCCGAAGCAAAAUAAUGAGCCAAAACAGAGCAUAAUUUUCAGGGUGCAUACAUGAGCAAAAUUUCGAAUAUAUGAACAUGAUACUCUCAAAAUAACCACUGAUUAUCAUUGUAAACUAUCAUACAUGUUAAGAACCAACCAUAUUUCACAAGAAUAAUAGCAUGCAUUGACCAAAAACCAAGUUAAAAACUCCAAAUCAUCACAUAUAGCAUCCACUCGAAAAUCAUGGCUUAAGAUCACUAGUUUCACAUAUUUCUUGUACAAAUCAUAACAUGCAAGCUCUAAACCUUUAUAUAACAUCUUGUAAAAGAACCAAAAUCUCUUGAAACAUAACAAAACUUCAUACAUUUCGAAUUCAAGUCUCCAAAACAAACCAUUCCCUUCGGCUCCCUUAAGGGUCAUUGCCGAGGGUGAUGAAACAUGUGUGUUUUGGCCAAAUGAAGGUAUAAAACCUCUCCAAAAACACAUCAAGCUCAUCUUUAGGAACCUCCAAAAUGGUGACCCUAAGCUCACAAGAACUAAGGCCCCAUUUCGGUUCCAAAUUCAACAUGCAACAUAGGUUUUAACCUCAAAAUGAAGAUACAAGCUUGGAUGAUGAAAGUCUUGGCCUCCAAAAGCUUGAAAUGAUGAAGAAUGGAAGAAAAUGGUGAAGAGAGGGGAGGGUUUAGAGAUCAGCCGAGAGGGAGAGGUGAGGGAGAGAGAAGAGAGAGAUGAGAGAAGACGGUUUUGAUUUCCGUGGUGUAUAAGAAUAAGUGGGGUGUGGGAGUAUGCAUUAUUUUGUUGUCUUGUGCUUGACUUGACCAAAAUUGUGGUAGUGGAUUGUAGAAAUGACUAGAUUAUCCCUUCUCCAAGUGUUAGUGUAAAAUGCAUGCAAGGGUAGAGUAGACAUUUGAUAAAUAAUUAAAGUGUGAUUUAAAAAGUAUUAAAAGAAAGAGUUUUAAUAAAUAAAGUACAAAUCUAUAAAUCUUGAAAUUAAUAUCACAAAUAAUAUGGGAUUUAAGAAGUUUAAUAAAAUAGUAUUCAAAGAUUUCGGACAAAGAAUGAAUUUAAAAGAUUAUAUUCAAUAAAGGCUCUUAUAUUCGCAUUACACAAAAUAUAAAAGCACGAAUAUAAUACACGUAAUAUCACGAGAGAGAGAGAUAUAUAUAUCAAUUCGCUAUUUUACAAGUUAAAGUUUAUCGGUUACUCGCAAUUCAUCAAACAUCACUAAAUCGCAUAUAUCUCUAUUAUUAUUAAAUCGGGUAGCGACAACGAUCACAUUUAUUAAUAUAAAGUUAAAACUGUCGCAACUAGUAAUAUCAUUUAAUCGCGUAGCGAGAUUUAUCCCUCAAAUAUUAAACAGGUACAUUCUAACUAUAAUCGGAAGUCACAUAACAAUAAAUGAGUCAAAUUCACAUAAUUUAACAAUUAAGACACGAAGCUUUAUAUAUCACCAAAAAUGAAAUACUGUAAUAUAUAUAAGUCAAAUAUUACAGGCGUUACAUAGUCUCAGUUGCCGCAGUUAAAAAAAGGAGAGUAUUGAUAUUAGUAUUAUUGUUCCAUCGAUCUACACUAACUUUUACAAACCUGCAUUAAUUGAAAAUAUACCUACCUACACUGUUACACACACUAAAUUAUAUUAUAUACAGUUUAAUUUUAUUUCCUUACGCGGCGGCUGCUUUUGUUUCUUUUUCUCAUCUUUAGGCACAAAAGUACCAUCAUCUUUAGCAACACAAUCCGACUUACUUUUGGCACAUUGUAUACACUAUAAAUGAAAUUCACAUUAGAACAGUAUGAUUUAAUAAGAACUUUCUUCAUGUGAGCGAGACGUUAAAAGUUCUCAUAAAGUAUACAAACAUAAAUACCAUUCACUGACAGUUACUUUUGACCAAAGGUGGGUCUAGUGUCUCUGAACCUUACUAUUAAUCUUGUUUAUGUAUAACUUAUCCUUUGAGAUGCUUGCUAAGUUUUAAGAUUUUUGAAUAGAGUUAUUGGUUGUUUGCAGGAGUGGACUGAUCCGGUCAUAAUCAAGACAAAGAUGACACGCUUAUAGACUCAGGUCAUAUGCAGAAGGUGCUGACUAGGCGAUCACUCAAUCAGUCUUUUUUUGAAAGAUGUAAAAGCCUUUGCCAUUAUCAAAGAUACCUCAUAAUUUUUUUUGGAUACUUUUUGAUUCUAUUGCAUUUUGGUACUCUAAUAGAACUUCAGACGGAUCCCAAUAUUCAAUGUAGUGAUUCACUUCUGUGUAAUAAUUAGAUAUAAUAAAAGUUGUCGAUAUUUGGGAUUUAAUUGAGUUAUGUUAAAUUAAAUUGAGUUGCUAGUCUUAUUAAAUAUUAAAGUAAGUGUGAAUUUGUAGUAGUGAAAGUAAUAGAAUGUGACAACUCGGCUAAAAAAUUUAACAAACAGCUUAGAAAUCUAACACAGCAAUGUGACUCGGCUAGUAACUCGGUAAAACAAAAUUCGAUGCCUAGGAAACUCUAUUGCAUCUCUGUAAAUUCAAAACUACACAGCAACUUGGAACUAAAAAUCAACCAACAGACGCAACUCACAAUUUGGUGAUAUUAAUAUCAAAACAAAACUCAAAGCGGAACAGGGGCUGCACAUCAAUCUACACUGCAACACAAGCGCAAAAAAAAAAAACUACAAAACUACAACCAAUCGGCUAAAUACAAAGUGACACAUGUGAAAAACGAAAAGAAAAACAGGUCAUACACAAACUCAGUAGAUCAUCACUAAAAUCACAAGAAUUUAACAUCCGUACGGAUUGAUCGUUAAAAAUGAAUUUUUUAAAAAUAUAAACUUCAUUUAGCACAAAACUAGUCCACCGAGUUGGGUGUUUUUACUAAUUUGAAUAUUAUAAAAUAUCAUCAAAUAAGUCUUGAUUUUUUUUUUAAAAAAAAAAUUCUCCAUCACUAAAAUCACAAGAAUUUAACAUCCGUACGGAUGAUUCGUUGAAAACAAUUUUAGAAAACACACAAACUUCGUUCGGGACAAGAUUAGUACACCUAGUUGGGAGCUUUCACCAAUUUGACUGUUAUGAAACACCUUCAAAUAAGUCUUGAUUUUUUUUAAAAAAAAUCUCACAUCACUAAAAUAACAAGAAUUUAACAUCUGGAUGGAUGAAUCAUUGAAAAUUUUUUAAAAAUAUAAACUUCAUUUAUGACAAAACUAGUCCGUCAAGUUCGGUGUUUUUACGAAUUUGAAUGUUAUAAAUGUGACGCACCAUAAUAACCGACUAAGCAUGCAUAAUUCGAUAAAUAAUUAAACUACAGAAUUAUAAAAUAUUAAAGCUACAAGUCUAAAUCCACAUCCCCGGAAUCACCAGGAAUGAGUAUGAACAACAUCUAAAGUUAUUACAAUCCAAAAUAAAAUUCAAAGUUAUUACUACAAGUUUUAAAAUCCCCAAAAGUCUUAAAAGAUAAAGUUAGGGAACUAUGAGUUCCCAACCUGCUCCAUCAUACGGCGGUAGGCAAUACCCGAUCCUGAGGUGGUCUUACGGGCAGUUUGCUUGAAUCGAGCCAUCCUCGGGUUUCACUGAAGGGUUAUCAUAAAUAAUACAAUUAAUGAGCAAAAAGCUCAGCAAGUGAAAGCAGUAUAUAACAGUUCACAAUAUGCAAUAUAAACAAUUGCAACAAUAUCAAGGAAUAUCACAAGGUAUAAUCUCAAUAAAGGUGCAAAAUGAGAUAGCAAUUUAUUGGAAUUGGAAACACACAACGCUACGAGCAUUGAGGGAUGAUCAGCCAUCAGGCUCCCCGCUACUGAUACUGCAAUUAAUUGACUGGCGCCUCAGUCUUAUAAUAAAAAUAUUAUCCAAUUCCUUUUAAGGUAAAUUCAAUUUCGAUAAAAAGGGGUCUUGAUCAAAGACAAGUCAUUCAGCAAAGGUAUUUUCAAAGUUUAAGUGAUCUUUCUAAAAUAAGGGAAUGUUAUUAAGAUUAGGGUUCCAAAAGAGAUAAUUCAGUUCAAUGUGGGGUAUCAAGUUCUCAUUCUUUAUCAAGGGACAAUUGGAGUAUAAUCAUGUGGGUGUAAGGUGAUACUAAAUGAAAAGGUCAAUUCAAGUAUUAAGGGUAUUAUUGAACUCCAACGUUUGAUCAUAGGGUGAUAAUAAGGUGAUUCAGUUCUAGAUAAGCAGUAACAAUGCAUUCACAGGGUAUACAAUUAUCAAGCAAGUAUAAAGGAGAGUUUCACUUGCCUGGACUAAGCUUACUUAACACUUGUACUGAAUCUUCUAGAGGUUCCUUGCCUGGCCUCGUACUUGCACCUAUAAUUAAUAGUAUCCUCGUCACCACAAUGCUAACUACCUUUUCGUGUGUGUGUGUGUGUGUGUGUGUGUGUGUGUGUAUACACAUAUAUAUAUAAAUAUAUACACUUAAGCUUAAUUAAUAACAAAUCACAUACUCCUCAAGUAAUGCACAUAACAAGUAAGGCAUGGCAUUUUAUCAAUUAGCUAUUAUCACUUAAUAGUCUCUAAUUAUACCUAAGUCACUUAAGCAAUUAGUCAAGUAACACAUAAGGUCUAAGACCAACACUUCCUAAUUACACUUUAUUGACCUCAACUUAACCAAAUAAGAGUAAGGCACACUUGUGCCCCACCUCACAAGACUCACCAAUGAAAUGCAUCCUAUUUGACGUACUAAAAUGCUUGCCUUGGCAACACUUGUGUGCCUUGGAAAAAAUGAUGCUUCUAUACUAAGUGCAUUGACCUAUAAUAACAUUAAUAAUCCUAAUAUCAAUUAAUAAUUAAUAUUUAAUCAAUAUUUAUUUCAUUUCUAAUUUCCAAAAAACUUUGCAGCCCUGCUCUUCUCUACCACGCCAAACAUAUCCAACAUUAUUAUACUUUCGACGGUGUAAGCCUCCUGUCAAAACCACCAUUCUCCGUCUCAUCCCUCCCCGAGACCUGUACAAUAGCCUCGAUCUCCCUCUCUCGUCUCAUCCCUCCCCGAGACACCUGUACAAUAGCCUCAUCUCCCUCUCUCGUUACUGCAACAACUACACAACCCUAUUCCCCAUCUUCUUUAUUCACUCUCCCUCUCUGUCGCUGAUUCUACAAUCAGCGCAGCCACUACAGUCGGCUGAACAACAGCUCUGCCAACAAUAAACCAAGCCACACCAUUGUCCAACAUAGCCACAAAUUCUCUUCUGCAUUAACUCUGCCUCAGUACCUUAUCAAACUUCAAAAUCAAUGUCCUAUAUAUAUCUUUCAUUACUCAAUCAAACAACUUGUACAACCCUCCUGUAUAGGCGGCAACAUCUGCCACCAAACCACCAUUUCCUUUCCCAUCUCCUUACUGUACUACACUUACCACCUGAUUCUUAUUCUUUUCAUUGCUUCAAUCCUGAUCAGCCAACCAUAGUCACCAGAAACAUCAAAAACAAACCUGCACAUAACUAAUUGGAACACCCAGAAAUCACAAUCUAAUCCUACACACCAGCGAAACACCAAUUCCCUUCCCUAAUUUCCCCAACCUACCCUGUCAAACAACUAUCAAUGGAACUACUCAACAACCCCAGGCACACCUGCCCCCAUAACACCCACCUUCCUUAAGCUCACCAACAGCCACACAAAUCAGCCCCAUUCCGAAAUCCUUAACACCACCAGAUUAUAACCAACUGCUGAGUCAAAAACCAGCCGCCUGUAACAAAACAGUUGUUGCAAUCACAGCCGUAAGCAAAUUUCCUCCAUCAUCACACCACUAAGCAGUCGUCCCCUUCGACUUCAUCUUUCUCUUCCCCGCAGCCACUGGGAAUCAAAAGCAGCGCCACUACUUUCCGUCGCCGCCACCACACAUGGCUGCUACCGCGCUGCAACCACGAAGCCACCAUAGUCAAUCAAAACACCACAUGCGACUCUCUCUGUCCGGUUACUCGAACCCACCACCAGUUACAACUCAAUUCCGACGAAGUUGUCACUGACCCAAACAGCACCUCCUCUGCUUCCUUUCUCAACAAGCGGCGCGGCUUCCCUACANCUCCAAUCGACCACAUCCAACUGAGCACUUACUCAAUCCAACCCCUGCGACAACAUCGGAAACUCUGUCCCAAUCUCUGCAAUACCAGCGCCCAGCGGCGUCGCCGCCAUACCCGGAGAGCCGAUCCCAUCACCACCACAACUCGAAUCAUGAUAUACAACAAGUAAAAAUCGCUUAUACACGAAAUCGAAUCCUUACCAGUAUGAAUCAAAGUGAGAAGAAGAAGAAAAAUUUGGAGAACCCUAAUUCCCAAUUGAG